GGAAGUAUGGCUCAAAUGAUAGAGUACUUGCAUAGCAAGUGUGAGACUCUGAGUUCAAAUCUCAGCACUAUUA
rnacentral:tRNA from 1 species